ACGGGUGAGUAGUGUCUGGGGAUCUGCCCGAUAGAGGGGGAUAACCACUGGAAACGGUGGCUAAUACCGCAUAACGUCGCAAGACCAAAGAGGGGGACCUUCGGGCCUCUCACUAUCGGAUGAACCCAGAUGGGAUUAGCUAGUAGGCGGGGUAACGGCCCACCUAGGCGACGAUCCCUAGCUGGUCUGAGAGGAUGACCAGCCACACUGGAACUGAGACACGGUCCAGACUCCUACGGGAGGCAGCAGUGGGGAAUAUUGCACAAUGGGCGCAAGCCUGAUGCAGCCAUGCCGCGUGUAUGAAGAAGGCCUUCGGGUUGUAAAGUACUUUCAGCGGGGAGGAAGGCGAUGUGGUUAAUAACCGCAUUGAUUGACGUUACCCGCAGAAGAAGCACCGGCUAACUCCGUGCCAGCAGCCGCGGUAAUACGGAGGGUGCAAGCGUUAAUCGGAAUUACUGGGCGUAAAGCGCACGCAGGCGGUCUGUUAAGUCAGAUGUGAAAUCCCCGGGCUUAACCUGGGAACUGCAUUUGAAACUGGCAGGCUUGAGUCUCGUAGAGGGGGGUAGAAUUCCAGGUGUAG
rnacentral:rRNA from 1 species